UGUGUGACACACUUCAGGGCCUGGUGUGCCCAGGAAUUUGUUUCAGGAAACUGUGACUGAGGUCCCUUGGAGGGACUGGGAGGGGGAACGCUGGGCCUGCAGCACGAGCACCAGGGAUGGGUGGGACAUCUUACACAAACGCUGUAGCCGCGGCACCGAGUGGGUGGAGGGACUGUUCUUCUGGCAGUGUGAGGCAAUGUGCAAAUUUAACCUUUGGGUUUAUGACUCUAUUUCUUUGCAGCAAAUGUCACGGGAAAUGUCAGGCUGAGGCUGAAGCCGGUGAGGGGCCCAUCGAGCCAGCAGGUGGAGUGCCGAGGGGCUCAGGCCAAGGCAGGGCUCCGAGACCCUCACCUCCUCCCGGGAGUACUCUCGGAUUGCCCGUUGCUUGCCUGGGCCCAGUGCUGUGUCCUCGGUCUGUCCCAUUGUGACCUUGUUGAGAUGUUGCUUUUAUUCACUUACUGCCAGAGCCCAGAUGGGGCAGGCUCAGGGACCUGCCAGCAGUCUCCCCUCCAAGUCUGGGCAGCCGUUGGAUUAGCCUGUGCAGUGCCGUCUUGCUGUGUGACCUUGGGCAGCACCUGCCCUUUCCUGGUCACCAGAGGCCUCAUCCGUAAUCCAUGGCUGUUGACCAGAGGUGGUGUCCCCAGCUCAUUGCCUUUGUGGGUGGGAAAACACUCCAAGCCCGAGGCAUGUGGGAUACUGGGCUCUGGGGGAGGUGGGUAGGGCCUGUGUGCAGGGCCAGCGGGGGUGGGUGGCUGGCUUAUGGCAUCCUGUGGCAGCUUCAGGCACACAGUAGGUACAUCCAGCCCAGCCACCAGGGCGCAGGGAGCCAAGACUGUGUGCAGGCAUCUGCCUCAUAGUUAGUUCUCUUUGCACCAGCCUCAUGCUGCAGUGUGAGGGAUGGCACAUGUUCCUACCUGGUCUUCGGGCAGGGUGGGGUCUGGGCAGCAGGAGGGUGGCCCACCUACCCCACCUUCCCAGAAGCACCUCCUAGCCCCAAAGAUGUGACUGGAAGCAGAAUUCCAGAGAAAGGCCAAUCCUGGUCAGCCACCAGGACAUGCUGGUUGUUGCAUCAGAGCAACCUCAGGAGAGCUGUGGGGCCCAAGGUCACACAGGAGACUCCAGACUCAGCUCUCCCACCUGCCUCCACAGCGCACCUGGCCAGGAACCUGGGAGUGGCCCUAGUGCCCACCCCACCUUUCCCAGAGCCCUGCCAAGUUCCCUCCCCCACGCUCUCCAUUGUUUGCCCUGGUUGAGGCUUUUUUGCUCUUCCAGGACACAUUCAGCCAAACCCUCGUCCUCAAAGAACAUAGAACUGGCCUGUCACACCCCUGCUAGCCACUGGGACCUCCCGAGGGAUGAGGCGCUGUGAAGUGGUAGCUGGUGAGCCUGGCAGGGACUAGGCUGUUCCGUCUCCUGGGGGACCAAACCCAAGACACCUGGGGACAUCUAAAAAAGCAGCAGGAUUUUCACUGUCCCCCUGGUACAGUAGGCAUCCCUCACCCCACCACAUGGUUGGCCUUCCCCAUAUGGUAGGAACUGAUGGGGGGGGGGCGGUGAGGGAGACCCUGGGACUGUGAUUCCUGAGUAUGGCCUGGCAGGUAACCCCUCCCCGCAUCGUCCCCUGGGGAGGACCCUGCCCACACUUGGUGGGAUUAGCCAGGUACCAAGAUGUACACUCAGGGCGGAGUACUGGACAGGUCCCGGAAGAUCCCUUGCUUCUCUCUCCAUUCUCUUGGCAAGUGCUUUCUAGCAUUAUUUUAAGACACCUUCUGUCCCCAAGGUCCCCCAGGUCCCAGGAAGGCACCCCAAAGCCCACAAAGUCCCCAGAAGGUAGAAGUGCUAUGUGGGUGCCAGCAGGAUGGUGAGGACCUUGAGGCCUGGGUCCACCCCCCUGGGCCCCCACUGAGGUCACAUAGGCCCUAGGUCUUAGAGAGGUGCUGGAACUGCUGGCUGAGGUAGACGGGGCUCCUGGACGGAGCAGAAGCUGGGACAGCCCAUUGCGUGGGGCUCGGUGGCUGCGUUCUCUGGGGUGUGACCAGGCUGGCCCUGUGCUUGGGGAGGAGGGAGAUGGGGGUGAGGUGAAGAGCUUGUGGGGGCCAAGAGGAGAGCAGAGGGAGGGGUUGGGGAUAUUGGGCCAGAAGGAUGGGGUGGAAGCUGCCUCCACCCCACCCGAGCUGGAGGCCAGCCCACUGCUCUCUGUGCUACUGGCUAUGUGACACGUGGCCCCUGCACACCAGCCUUGUCCAGGCUGUCUUUUAUCUCCCUGCCUCAGCCCCAAUUUAUGUCAGGCAGAGGCUGACACUGGGACAGGUGUGACAAGUGUUUGGCUUCCUGUUUGAAAAUGGGCAAAAGAAAAACUCUUCCCAUAAAGAUAUUCCAUCUACAUACCUCCUGGAUGUCACCUAGAGGACCUGUCACGGCCAAGACAGAUGGUGGCCCUGAUGGACUCCACUCUUCGACCUGCUGCCUGAACCUCGACUUGUCCCCCAGGGUGGCCCAAGGUGAGGGAAUGGUCCCGAGGUUGGGAGACCUGCCUGAGGCCCCACUGAGGCACAGCCAGUGCCCAAAGCCCUGGGCCAGGACCCCACGGCUCGAGGCUCUUUGGAAGGGGAUCCCGCUCCCGGAGAAUGGCCUCACCCACCCUUUCCAGUACAGAGCUGCCCCAUCCAGUGUCGGCACACGAGACCAAAUAAAAUGAACUAAAAACA